CAGCUCGAACCCGUUAACUGUGAAAUCGUGACCUGAGCCGAAGUCAGAGGCUCAACCGACGGAGCCACCCAGGUGCCCCUGGAUUGGCCUCUUUGGGGGGAUAUCUUCUCGGGAGAGAAGGUGUUUAACCCUGCUUAAGUUAAACAGAUGUACUUCCACGUACAGGUAACCCCCGCAAGUCCCUCCCAGGGCCUGCACCUUCUGUCUAGCUGACCCAGGACGGCGUUGAGAGCAAACAGCGCCCCUAGGGACCCAACUUGGCACACAUGCAUAAUUGCCUUCAGUUUCCCACUCUCCCUCGCCACUCCGCUCUUGGGGUUCAGGUGACUCUACUUGGAGGUAUUCCGGGAUUCUGAAGUUGGUGAAAAGAAACUUAAUUUUCAACCAAAGAAAUAAGGAGAUGUUCCUUUCAUAUUUUCUGAACCUCUCACCUGAAAGAGCCCCAAAUCUUCCUCUUGAAAAUCCUAGACUUCAAAAGCGAUUUAAGACCUUUAAUAAGUGAGCUAACUCCCUCUAUCUUAUUACUUCCCAUCAAAAUAAAACAACGUAUGUAAUUGGGAGAUCAGGGGAGGAUCAGGGAAAUUAUUGUGUUUGUUCCUUGGAUUCUGCCAAGGGAUCUUCCCACAUUUACGAGAAAGAAAAGGGCACUGUCUCUGGGACGGAGGUUUGAACACGUCUCUAGGAAGAUCCUAAGACACAGAGGCUCAUGUACUGUCUCAGAAGACUCCAGUAAGGGCAUCGCCAAGCGCUUUCUGAUUUUCAGUCAGUCACAGGUGUGUGCUGGCGUCCUGGCCUGUGUGAUGUCUUCAGAGAGAGUGUCUCUGCUGUGUAGACGAGCCAUCACUGGACUGUUCCAAGAGCCAGCCAAGGACAAAGUGUGGACCUUGAAACAGGGAGCAGUGAAGAAAUCCUUAACUUCUCCAGAAGCCGGAGUCCAGCAUCCCGCGUAAGGCCUUUCAGCGUGUGUGCACACCCAGGGCACAAAGCAGCAUCUUGUACACGGGCACCUGCCCGUGAUCCACACCCAGACAUUAGCAUGCAGAAACCUGGAGUCUGAAACCACAUGUCAACGCACAGGGAAAAACGCUCUUGAUUUCGAGUAGAUGGUCCCCAUUAUGGCACAAAGUGCAGCUACUGUUAACGUUGUGAGGCUGUCAGAGGACAAACCUUUUAUCACUCGCAGAGCUCGGAAUCGAAGCAGGGAUCCUAGACACUGGAGAACGUAAUGGAGCCUUCAAAGCCAUUCUGCAGCCGCACCGACCAUGGCUGUGUGGUGCCCUUGACACACUAAGGUUCAAGGGCUUACGUGUCCUUAUGUCUCCUGGAAAAGACACAUGCAACGUUACCAAUUUGUCUCUAGUUCCGUUUAUAAACUUUUCAAGAAAAUGAUUUCUUCCUGGCCUUGAUACAAGGUUACCACACACGCAGAAAGGAGAUGUAAUUUCUCCCCAGCCGG